ACCUCUGAGGGUGUGCUGCGGUAUCUGGCACCAAGACGUUAGCAGCAGAUCCUUUAGGUCCUGUACGUUGCAAGGUGGGGUCUCCAUGGAUCAGACCUGUUUGGCCAGCACAUCCCACAGAUGAUAUAUGAUAUGAGAUAAUCAGUGUUAUUCACUCGGAUUGUUUUAAAGGUUAUAACAUGAGCAGUUUUGCCUCAAAUUGCCUCACAUUGAGUUAGAGGUUAUAACGUGAGCAGCUUUGCCUCAAAUUGCCUCAGAUUGUGUUUGAGGAUAUAACGUGAGCAGCUUUGCCUCAAAUUGCCUCAGAUUGUGCUAGAGGUUAUAACGUGAACAGUUUUGCCUCAAAUUGCCUCAGAUUGUGUUUGAGGUUAUAACGUGAACAGUUUUGCCUCAAAUUGCCUCAGAUUGUGCUAGAGGUUAUAACGUGAACAGUUUUGCCUCAAAUUGCCUCAGAUUGUGGUUGAGGUUAUAACGUGAACAGCUUUGCCUCAAAUUGCCUCAGAUUGUGUUUGAGGUUAUAACGUGAACAGCUUUGCCUCAA
ensembl:lncRNA